GUGUAUCUAGGAUUAACAU
rnacentral:rRNA from 1 species